UACGAAGGGGGCUAGCGUUGUUCGGAAUUACUGGGCGUAAAGCGCACGUAGGCGGCUUUGUAAGUUAGAGGUGAAAGCCCGGGGCUCAACUCCGGAACUGCCUUUAAGACUGCAUCGCUUGAAUCCAGGAGAGGUGAGUGGAAUUCCGAGUGUAGAGGCGAAAUUCGUAGAUAUUCGGAAGAACACCAGUGGCGAAGGCGGCUCACUGGACUGGUAUUGACGCUGAGGUGCGAAAGCGUGGGGAGCAAACAGG
rnacentral:rRNA from 1 species